rnacentral:lncRNA from 1 species
UCUUGUAGAAAUUAGCCUGUGAGAUCAAGAUGCAGAUAUAUCCACCAGAUACCAAAUGCCACACCAAAGCAGACAUUUUCAAAUGUUGAGAGACCUAUGAAUACAUCUACAUCCUUCUUCGGACUUUGAAACAACUGAUUGAGUAUGUUAGCUAACAUUUAAUCAAUUAUGUUUGAACAGUGCUACACAACAGCCUGGGUGGAUUUUGCUUUUUCCACCGGCCCACUCCAACUUUAAUCUCUUUUUUGUUAAAAUAUUGAUAUCUAAUGCUUAUCUGCUUUUUUUCAAUUGAUUGUACUUGCAAGUCUUUUGAUUAAACAAAAGAAAUUGCAUGCCCACUCCUAUGGGUGGGCAGAGUUGACAAGCUAGAAAGUUUGCCCACUCCCACUGUGGACGGGUGGACAACGCAAAAUCCACCUGAGCUGUAGUGUAUAUUUGAAAGUCAAUGACUUCUAUUAAAAAAAAAAGAAAAAAGAAAUCUAGAACUUUACAAUCUUUUUUUUAAUGCCCCUAUUUAUAUACAAAAGAAGAUGUCAUAUGAUUGCCAAAGAUACAACUCUCCACAAGAAACCAAGUGACACAGAAAUUAACAGCUACAGGUCAUUGUAAGGCCUUCAACAAUGAGCAAAGCCCAUACCGCAUAUUCAGCUAUAAAAGGCACUGAAAUGACAAAUGAAAUAUUAUGCAUGGUGGGGGUGAAAUAAAAAGUGUCUUCUGACCCCUGAUCCCCUACAUUUAUUUCUGGAACAUCCCUCAGUGUUGCAACACAUAAACACAUUUGGUAGUCAGAUUGCUUUCAACCAUAUACUAUAGUGAUAGUUUUCUUCUUCAGAAUGCUAAAUUUAAAAGUUUUAAUUAAUUUGUGAUGAUGAAUUUUCUUUUUUACUUCCAGUUAGGCAAGAUGUUAUCUCUCAUAUCAAAGAGAUGGAAUAUGAAACUGGCAGCCAGUAUUGAUAUAAUGUGGUACUAAAAGCUCCAAUACCAUCAGGGGCUGAAGACAUAACAGGAAUUGUGUGGAAUUUGACCAACCUUAGACUAAAGAGAAAAGUUGUUGCUGCAUUACAGAUAUUUUGAACUCAGCAAUUUUUAUUAAUGUUUUUAAUGUUAAUUCUCUCUCUUAUGAAUAAUAUGAUAUCUAUACUUGCAAUGAGCAUGAAUUGAAAGUUCCUCAUGUCUGUAAAACUGUUUUCCCUUGACAUUGACCACAUUUCAUGGAUCGGUGAAAAAAGUUAUGUACCCAUGGUCAAGUCCAUGUAUCAGAUUCAAAAAAGCAAUAGGUCUGCUUAAUUUGGUAUACUGUAUGAUUGAUCCUGAUCUCAUUGUCAUGCUUUAUUGAUCAAUGUUAAUAUUCAAAAGAUUUAAUAUUGAU